CCGGGUGAGUAACGCGUAUGCGACCUGCCCGUUGCAGGGGGAUAAUCGGGAGAAAUCCCGUCUAAUACCGCGUAACGCCGCGGGGCUGCAUGGCCCUGCGGCCAAAGGGAGCGAUUCCGGCAACGGAUGGGCAUGCGUGACAUUAGCUAGUUGGCGGGGCAACGGCCCACCAAGGCGACGAUCAGUAGCCGGCCUGAGAGGGCGGACGGCCACACUGGGACUGAGACACGGCCCAGACUCCUACGGGAGGCAGCAG
rnacentral:rRNA from 1 species